rnacentral:sRNA from 1 species
GCCGGGCAUGGUGGUGCACACCUGUAAUCCCAGCAGCUUUAGAGGCUGAGGCAGGAGGAUCAUGAGUUCAAAGCCAGCCUCAGCAAUGGUGAAGCACUAAGCAACUCAGUGAGACCCUGUCUCUA